rnacentral:rRNA from 1 species
UAAUAAGGGCAUCUGGUGGAUGCCUUGGCGUUAAGAGGCGAUGAAAGACGUGGCACUCUGCGAUAAGCUACGGUGAGCCGAGAGCAGGCUUUGACCCGUAGAUUUCUGAAUGGGGAAACCCCACCCAAUAGGGUGAUCCCAACGUGAAUACAUAGCGUUGGGAGGCGAACCCGGGGAACUGAAACAUCUCAGUACCCGGAGGAAAGGACAUCAACCGAGACUCUGCUAGUAGCGGCGAGCGAACGCGGACCAGGCCAGUGGCUUAUGCAUAAGAACCGGAACGAUCUGGAAAGGUCGGCCAUAGUGGGUGAUAGCCCCGUAUCCGAAACCUGAGUCCAGUGAAAUCGAGUAGGACGGGACACGAGACAUCCUGUCUGAACAUGGGGGGACCACCCUCCAAGCCUAAGUACUCCUUAACGACCGAUAGUGUACCAGUACCGUGAGGGAAAGGUGAAAAGCACCCCGAUGAGGGGAGUGAAAUAGACCUGAAACCGGAUGCCUACAAGCAGUAGGAGCCUCCAUUGUGAGGUGACUGCGUACCUUUUGUAUAAUGGGUCAGCGACUUAUGUUCAGUGGCGAGGUUAACCGUUUAGGGGAGCCGUAGGGAAACCGAGUCUGAAUAGGGCGAUUUAGUCGCUGGGCAUAGACCCGAAACCGGGCGAUCUAUCCAUGAGCAGGUUGAAGGUUGAGUAACAUCAACUGGAGGACCGAACCCACUGUCUUUGAAAAGCCAGGGGAUGACUUGUGGAUCGGAGUGAAAGGCUAAUCAAGCCCGGAGAUAGCUGGUUCUCCCCGAAAGCUAUUUAGGUAGCGCCUCGGACGAAUACCACAGGGGGUAGAGCACUGUUUCGGCUAGGGGGUCAUCCCGACUUACCAACCCGAUGCAAACUCCGAAUACCUGUGAGUACUAUCCGGGAGACACACGGUGGGUGCUAACGUCCAUCGUGAAGAGGGAAACAACCCAGACCGCCAGCUAAGGUCCCCAAAUACCAGUUAAGUGGGAAACGAUGUGGGAAGGCUCAGACAGCUAGGAGGUUGGCUUAGAAGCAGCCAUCCUUUAAAGAAAGCGUAACAGCUCACUGGUCUAAAUAAGCUGUCCCGCGCCGAAGAUGUACCGGGGCUCAAGCCACACACCGAAACUGCGGACUUGUUCUUUGAACAAGUGGUAGCGGAGCGUUCCGUAAGCCUGUGAAGGUGUGCCGUAAGGCAUGCUGGAGGUAUCGGAAGCGAGAAUGCUGACAUGAGUAGCGAUAAAGGGAGUGAGAACCUCCCUCGCCGAAAGCCCAAGGGUUCCUGCGCAAGGCCAAUCCGCGCAGGGUGAGUCGGCCCCUAAGACGAGGCAGAAAUGCGUAGUCGAUGGGAAACAGGUUAAUAUUCCUGUACCCGU